rnacentral:tRNA from 1 species
GGGGCUGUGGCUCUGUGAUAGAGCACUUGCCUAGCAUGUAUGAGGCACUGGGUUCAAUUCUCAGCACCA